UGGGGAAUAUUGGACAAUGGGGGGAACCCUGAUCCAGCCAUGCCGCGUGUGUGAAGAAGGCCUUAUGGUUGUAAAGCACUUUAAGCGAGGAGGAGGGUACUGGUAUUAAUACUACCAGGUACUGGACGUUACUCGCAGAAUAAGCACCGGCUAACUCUGUGCCAGCAGCCGCGGUAAUACAGAGGGUGCGAGCGUUAAUCGGAUUUACUGGGCGUAAAGCGUGCGUAGGCGGCUAAUUGAGUCGGAUGUGAAAUCCCCGAGCUUAACUUGGGAAUUGCAUUCGAUACUGGUUAGCUAGAGUGUAGGAGAGGAUGGUAGAAUUCCAGGUGUAGCGGUGAAAUGCGUAGAGCUCUGGAGGAAUACCGAUGGCGAAGGCAGCCAUCUGGCCUAACACUGACGCUGAGGUACGAAAGCAUGGGGAGCAAACAGG
rnacentral:rRNA from 1 species